ACUCUAGUUAACCAGUUUCAAAUGCACGUCCCAAGUUGAGCUCGGGGAUUUCACAUCUGACUUAAUUAACCGUCUGCGCUCGCUUUACGCCCAGUAAUUCCGAUUAACGCUCGCACCCUACGUAUUACCGCGGCUGCUGGCACGUAGUUAGCCGGUGCUUAUUCUUUAGGUACCGUCAGCACCAGGUGGUAUUAACACCCGGCUUUUCUUCCCUAACAAAAGUCCUUUACAACCCGAAGGCCUUCUUCAGACACGCGGCAUGGCUGGAGGUCGCUAGGGUUCCCCCCGUUGUCCGGAUUUAUUGGGCGUAAAGGGCUCGUAGGUGGUUGAUCGCGUCGGAAGUGUAAUCUUGGGGCUUAACCCUGAGCGUGCUUUCGAUACGGGUUGACUUGAGGAAGGUAGGGGAGAAUGGAAUUCCUGGUGGAGCGGUGGAAUGCGCAGAUAUCAGGAGGAACACCAGUGGCGAAGGCGGUUCUCUGGGCCUUUCCUGACGCUGAGGAGCGAAAGCGUGGGGAGCGAACAGGCUUAGAUACCCUGGUAGUCCACGCUGUAAACGGUGGGUACUAGGUGUGGGGUCCAUUCCACGGGUUCCGUGCCGUAGCUAACGCUUUAAGUACCCCGCCUGGGGAGUACGGCCGCAAGGCUAAAACUCAAAGGAAUUGACGGGGCCCCGCACAAGCGGCGGAGCAUGCGGAUUAAUUCGAUGCAACGCGUAGAACCUUACCUGGGUUUGACAUGGAUCGGGAGUGCUCAGAGAUGGGUGUGCCUCUUUUGGGGUCGGUUCACAGGUGGUGCAUGGCUGUCGUCAGCUCGUGUCGUGAGAUGUUGGGUUAAGUCCCGCAACGAGCGCAACCCUUGUUCACUGUUGCCAGCACGUUANGGUGGGGNNNNAGGUNGCUAGANNGCCGGGGUCAACUCGGAGGAAGGUGGGGAUGACGUCAAGUCAUCAUGCCCCUUAUGUCCAGGGCUUCACGCAUGCUACAAUGGCUGGUACAGAGAGUGGCGAGCCUGUGAGGGUGAGCGAAUCUCGGAAAGCCGGUCUCAGUUCGGAUUGGGGUCUGCAACUCGACCUCAUGAAGUCGGAGUCGCUAGUAAUCGCAGAUCAGCAACGCUGCGGUGAAUACGUUCCCGGGCCUUGUACACACCGCCCG
rnacentral:rRNA from 1 species